GAGUUUUCUCGUGUGCUGUUGCAAGUGUUGCCCAUUUACGUGAAAACUUCUCUGGGAGCAGAGCAGUGAUCAAGUCCCGCAAGACCUUCUGAGCACUCACUGCUGUGAAAGUUGGAGGUGCAGGAUGCUAAAUCUAACUUCAGUCAGGUUAGAGCUGUGCAUGUUGCUGGAGAAUGAGCACAUCUUUGAACCAGAGACAAACAACGAAUCUUUCUCCUUCUCACAUCCUCUACCCUAUGAGAAGAUAACAGUGGAGAAGCUGCCCAAGCCGUCGCGCCUGGCCAUGCUGCUGAAUCGCUACACUACAGAUCCCCGGUAUCAGCAACUCUUCAUCAAUCUGGAGCCAUACAUAAACAAAUCGGCCAUGUCAGUCCAAGCCCACUUCUCACUGCAGCGCACGUAUAUCAUCUUUCGCACCCUGGGGCUGCGCCAUCUCACUGUGGUCGACCUGCAGAACCGAGUGGUUGGUGUGAUCACCAGGAAGGACCUGAUGCCUCUCCCCUUGGAGAAGAGGCUCAGGCUCCAGCUGUCUGCACACAGCCCUGAUGGGGGAGAGUAGCCUCUGGAUUUAAGGCAGUGGAGAGUGGAUUUAAGGCUAUGGAUGCAUUCUUGGGAUUUGUCGCUUCUUUCUGAGCUCAUGCUUCUUCAGGAAAAAAUAAUCAGAGCUUUUCCACUUGAUCCUUUCUGGAGAAGAGAUGCUUAAAAGCUGUUGUAACUAGACAUGUGGGGUUGUAGCCUAGAGCUACGUCUCUACAGCUGUUUGGUGAUUGCAAAAUUCAUUGACUUAAAUGCUUGCAAGGCAGAAUAUGAAUUCAUGUAUUUAUGAAAGAUGCAUAUAAAAUCAGAUCUGUAGAAUGGAUGUUAAGCAGUCUUUUGUCACACUGUAUCCAUGCCUCCCAAUGAAAAAAUGUCAUGACCCCUAGCAGCAAAGUUAUGCUGGCAAAACCUUUGAGCUAGGACUAAAUUUCCAACCACUGAACAUCUGCUUCCAAACCAGCAUUUUUAUGUCGAAGCAUGUAAGUUUAAUUGAAAGGAAAUACUGCCUUGAGAGAAGCAGCCCAUUGAAAGGAACAGGGGAUUGGGCUUUCAUAUUGGCCUAUGUGUUACUGCAAUCCAAAGGGAGAAUUGAAAGUGAAUGAGAAACCUGACAUGCCUUUCUAUUGCUUACAGUUCUUUAAUUUCUUGACUGCUGGAAUAGGCUCUCUUUCUCUCUUUUAACCUGAUAAGAGAACAUUUUUAGUUUAGGUCAUGUGUAGGGAGGUAUGUAACAAAUUCUCGUAGUGGGGACGUAGCAUGAUAAAUUGUCAGAGCAGUUUUUGAUAGCAGCAUAUUUAGAAACUAGAAAAAAAAAAGUAAAUAAUUCGUCAUGAUUUUGUAGCCAUGCAAUGUUUGAAAGUUUGGAAAGGGUUGUUAAUAAAUUAAUGGGAACAAUUUUUUGGAUGAAGACA
rnacentral:lncRNA from 1 species